CCGGCUUCCAAAGGGCUCCGGAGGCCUUUGGAAGCUGGCCGGACAACCAGAGAACUUGGAAUAUGCUGUAUUAAAGUUACCUCAAAUGAAACAAAUUUAUUUCAUAAUCCAGACAAAACACAAGAGCAAAAGACAGAAAUCAAAUUCCAUGUUAAUGAGUUAUUCAUGCCACUGGAUUCCACCUGGCUCUUAAGGAAGCAGCCUGUUCUCCUGCAUAAUGCUUAGAAGAGGUCUUACUUCAAUCAUAUUUUGGAUAUAAAACCUGCACUGGGCAAGAUACACAUUUGCAUUACAAAUGCCUCUAUCCACAUUCUUUUUCAGCUCAAGAACAAACAGAUAACACAAGUAACAAAAGUGAAAUUAAAAGAGAUUUAAGACUUGUCCGGAAAAAAGAUGUCUGUGUAGAAUGAAGAGAUAAAAUGACCUACAGUGAAGAACUCUGCAUUAAGUAUGUUGUCUCAUCUUAAUGCAGCUAAUACACCCAUUUGUUAACUAUUUUUCUCACACGUUAUUGCAACAAAUCAGUUAAGACUCUAACAACAUUUGGAGAACAGUAAAUUCUCACUUUUGCUUUAGGUGCUUACAACAUUUUACUAAACAUGCAUUUUUUCCCUGAAGAAGGUCCUCUGUAUACAAAUGGUCAGAAGAGGAAUACUCUUAUCAUGGGCCCUAGCAAGAAGCACGUAUGUGCUGACCCUCACCUGGAACUGUUUUGUGAAGAGAAAUUAGACUAUGGUUAGGAUCCCUAGUAUUUUCCUGUAAAGGGGAUGAAUGCAACAUAAUGUAGGGGAGUCAGAAUGGCUCUCCUCUUCUCCAAAUCCUUCCAAGCCACUCCUCCGCCUCAAGACUUUUCUCACACAAAUGUCAGCACAUGCCCAUUUCCCCUUUGCUACUGACAAACUAUUCCCAGCAGAUGAGAGCAGUGAACAGGUACUAAAUGUAAGCAGAGGUGAGCAUAUAUGUUUUCUAUAUGUCUACUGGUAAGUGCAUAGGCUGAAAAAGUGAGCAUGGCUUAUUUCUUCCCAAAUAUUGAAGGAUCCACACCCCAGGAGCCCUCAACUGUAUUCACAAGGAAGAAGAUGGAACCCCUCAUUCCAACUCUGCAGUAAGUGAAGUAGGGGGUUGGUUGGUUCAGAGAUAGGCCCACUAUCUCUCAAACCAUUUACUGCCUGAGGGUGAAGAGAGUGCUAACUCUCUUUAUCUUUUCAGGUGGUCACAGGGGAAAGGAUACCCCCCUCCCCACAACAAGACUAGUGCCAAAGUGCAAUGAUAAUUAUCCAGUCAGGCCAUUCCAUUCUCAGUGGGCCCUGGUGGUGAUAUCUGUGUGUUAUGGCAGCAAUCUCAGUACCACUGGGUUGCUACAUUCAGCUACUGUCCUCACAAUGCCCCAGAAUUAUGCCACAUCAGAAGCAUUGGCAGAAAUAUAAAAGGUAACUAGAUCCAGGUACCAGGGCUACUGUAGUGCUGAUCACACAUACACUAAGAAGCCAACUCAAGACAUGCAUUAGCAAUCAGUCUUAGCAUAGGGCUGGGGUAUAGGGGACCACACUUGGGACUAUUACUUUUUUUGGAUUACAGCCCCCAAAAUCUCUUAGCCAGCAUGUGCUGGCCAAGGUUCUGAGAAAUGUACCUCAAAAAGUAACAAUCCCCACCCUAGCUGCGACAUUCCCAACAUCAUGCCACACUAAACAUACCUCUUCUCUUCUCAUUUGGAAGUUAAGUGGGGUCAGACCCAGUUAGUAUUUGUAAAAUACACAAAGGGAAUACCAGUGAUUGCAAGGAAUACCAGGACUAAGUAUGUAUCCUGCUUGGCACUUGGAGAGCUGUUGGCAGUCAGAAAUGAUGCUACUGGGCAAGAAGGUCCAGCACUCUGAUUCAGAAUAAAAAAGGCUCCUGUGUUCCUAAUGCCAGCUCCUGAUGCUGGUCCUAAGCCCAACCCUAAAUCUCACUACUACCUAAAUGCAAAAUGAUUGUGUCAACACAGGGAUGUAUACCAGAGUUUUACAAUGACCUUCCCUCCCACCCAACAACUUCAUCUGAGAUUCUUGCAAUACAUCAGUAAAAAAAUCUGAUAAGGCAUCACUACUCUCUAUAUUCGUAGAGUCCAGGUAUUCUGGCCUGGGCAGCACAAUAUCUCAAAUCUUCAUGUUGGUCUUUGGUUGAGAAGGUUGUUCAUAAUCCUUCUUGUUAAUGCUAGUCUUCAAGGAUUACUCUCGGUGCUAAGAGACGGUUGUUAUUGAUGUGGUUCUGUUCCAUACAGUCAAAAGGUAGAAGAGAAGCAUCUCUAUGACACGGUUAUGACACUGCCAUCUUUCUACCAUGCCUGCUUUUCUUAUAAUGUUUCAAUCUACACACAAGGAAAAGGGACAGGGGAUAGAUACAGUAUAACAUGAUCUGCAUGUAAAAGUACAUCUGCUGAGCUAAACCUAUUCCUGUUUGCAAAUUCAGCUUUGCUCUGUCAAUCCCUAUCCAUUUCUCACUGUUUCUUCCAAGUAUUGCCCUGCCACUAACAACCCUGCAGUGUGCAUUUUCUUUGAACUUGUAGUUGUGCAGUAUCUUUAGACAACCACUUACAUACGUAUGUAGGAAUCCAAUAAAAGUUGGAUGGCUGAAGUAAUACUGCAAUAUAGUCUGGGACAUUUUCUUUGGAUUUUUUUAAAAAGACAUUUGAAGGAAAAUAUGUGGUCUCUAGUG